ACGGUGAAAACUACUUUUUCGCCGGUGGAGAGUUUCCAGAGAUCGCCGUGGCAUUCACCGGCGGCGUACCUAUUCAUCGGUGUUGCAGCGAUGCUAGGGUUAAUAGCAUUUGCACUUGUAAUUUUAGCUUGUUCUUAUUUAAAACGCUCCGGCGAGACUAGCGAUAGUACCGAUGAUCUGGAAUCCGGCGCCGGUGAGAAAUCUUCCGGAGAUUUAGUUAA
rnacentral:misc_RNA from 1 species